AGGAAAUUACAUACUUUUAAUUUGUCAGGUCAGCAAAAGCGGGUGGUUAGUAGAGAAACAAUCUUGUGAGCUGGCAAUUUGUUUUUCCCUCCCUCCUUAUGUGUAUUCGUGUGGGGCCCAGUCUCAAGGCUCAAGACCACUUGCACCAGCAGCAUGCAUCAGCAAGAUAGCAGAAGCAGGAAGAGAGCUGGCCGGAAGACACACACCCUCUGAAGACCAAGAGAGAGGCCGUCCGGGUACUGCGUAGCAGUUACAUCAGAUUGAGACACUUCCUGUUUACAGAAGACUAUAAAGCCCCUGCCCCGACACCUUUUGGUGCUGAUGCCAUUUUAGGCCUCAGCCCGUCUGCACCCAGGCACUCAUUAAAAUAGUGUGUUGCUUCACGC